rnacentral:rRNA from 1 species
AGUGAACGCUGGCGGUAGGCCUAACACAUGCAAGUCGAACGGCAGCACAGUAAGAGCUUGCUCUUACGGGUGGCGAGUGGCGGACGGGUGAGGAAUACAUCGGAAUCUACUUUUUCGUGGGGGGUAACGUAGGGAAACUUACGCUAAUACCGCAUAGGACCUACGGGUGAAAGCAGGGGAUCUUCGGACCUUGCGCGAUUGAAUGAGCCGAUGUCGGAUUAGCUAGUUGGCGGGGUAAAGGCCCACCAAGGCGACGAUCCGUAGCUGGUCUGAGAGGAUGAUCAGCCACACUGGAACUGAGACACGGUCCAGACUCCUACGGGAGGCAGCAGUGGGGAAUAUUGGACAAUGGGCGCAAGCCUGAUCCAGCCAUACCGCGUGGGUGAAGAAGGCCUUCGGGUUGUAAAGCCCUUUUGUUGGGAAAGAAAAGCAGCAGGUUAAUACCCCGCUGUUCUGACGGUACCCAAAGAAUAAGCACCGGCUAACUUCGUG